rnacentral:rRNA from 1 species
UACGUAGGGGCCUAGCGUUGUCCGGAAUCAUUGGGCGUAAAGAGCUCGUAGGCGGUUCGGCAAGUCACGUGUGAAAUCUCCACGCUUAACGUGGAGGCGCCACGUGAAACUGCCGUGACUCGAGUCCGGUAGGGGAGUGUGGAAUUCCCGGUGUAGCGGUGAAAUGCGCAGAUAUCGGGAGGAACACCAGUAGCGAAGGCGGCACUCUGGGCCGGUACUGACGCUGAGGAGCGAAAGCGUGGGGAGCAAACAGG